rnacentral:rRNA from 1 species
AGAGUUUGAUCAUGGCUCAGGACGAACGCUGGCGGCGUGCCUAAUACAUGCAAGUCGAGCGAAUCUGAGGGAGCUUGCUCCCAAAGAUUAGCGGCGGACGGGUGAGUAACACGUGGGCAACCUGCCUGUAAGACUGGGAUAACUUCGGGAAACUGGAGCUAAUACCGGAUAAUCCCUUUCCUCACAUGAGGAAAGGCUGAAAGAUGGUUUCGGCUGUCACUUACAGAUGGGCCCGCGGCGCAUUAGCUAGUUGGUGAGGUAACGGCUCACCAAGGCCACGAUGCGUAGCCGACCUGAGAGGGUGAUCGGCCACACUGGGACUGAGACACGGCCCAGACUCCUACGGGAGGCAGCAGUAGGGAAUCUUCCGCAAUGGACGAAAGUCUGACGGAGCAACGCCGCGUGAGUGAUGAAGGUUUUCGGAUCGUAAAACUCUGUUGUUAGGGAAGAACAAGUAUCGGAGUAACUGCCGGUACCUUGACGGUACCUAACCAGAAAGCCACGGCUAACUACGUGCCAGCAGCCGCGGUAAUACGUAGGUGGCAAGCGUUGUCCGGAAUUAUUGGGCGUAAAGCGCGCGCAGGUGGUUCCUUAAGUCUGAUGUGAAAGCCCACGGCUCAACCGUGGAGGGUCAUUGGAAACUGGGGAACUUGAGUGCAGAAGAGGAAAGUGGAAUUCCAAGUGUAGCGGUGAAAUGCGUAGAGAUUUGGAGGAACACCAGUGGCGAAGGCGACUUUCUGGUCUGUAACUGACACUGAGGCGCGAAAGCGUGGGGAGCGAACAGGAUUAGAUACCCUGGUAGUCCACGCCGUAAACGAUGAGUGCUAAGUGUUAGAGGGUUUCCGCCCUUUAGUGCUGCAGCAAACGCAUUAAGCACUCCGCCUGGGGAGUACGACCGCAGGUUGAAACUCAAGGAAUUGA